UUUUCCGCAAUGGGGGCAACCCUGACGGAGCAACGCCGCGUGGGGGAGGAAUGUCUGUGGAUUGUAAACCCCUUUUCUCAGGGAAGAAGAUCUGACGGUACCUGAGGAAUCAGCAUCGGCUAACUCCGUGCCAGCAGCCGCGGUAAGACGGAGGAUGCAAGCGUUAUCCGGAAUUAUUGGGCGUAAAGCGUCCGUAGGCGGUUUAUCAAGUCUGCCGUUAAAGACUGCAGCUUAACUGUGGGCGAGCGGUGGAAACUGAG
rnacentral:rRNA from 1 species